CCUACGGGUGGCAGCAGUGAGGGAUAUUGGACAAUGGGGGCAACCCUGAUGCAGCCACGCCGCGUGAGUGAAGAAGGCCUUCGGGUUGUAAAGCUCUGUCCGCUGGGAAGAUAGUGUCAGUGUCAGAAGAGGUGGCUAUGGCUAACUACGUGCCAGCAGCCGCGGUAAUACGGAGGGAGCGAGCGUUGGCCGGAUUUACUGGGUGUAACGGGUGCGUAGGCGGCCCUGCAAGUCAGAAGUGAAAUCCCUGGGCUUAACCCGGGAACUGCUUUUGAAACUGAAGAACUAGAGUGGAGUAGAGGUAGGCGGAAUUCCCGGUGUAGCGGUGAAAUGCGUAGAGAUCGGGAGGAACACCAGUGGCGAAGGCGGCCUACUGGGCUUUAACUGACGCUGAAGCACGAAAGCGUGGGUAGCAAACAGGAUUAGAUACCCUUGUAGUC
rnacentral:rRNA from 1 species